rnacentral:rRNA from 1 species
CGUAGGCAGCAAGCGUUGUUCGGAGUUACUGGGCGUAAAGGGUGUGUAGGCGGUUCUUUAAGUUUGGUGUGAAAUCUCCCGGCUCAACUGGGAGGGUGCGCCGAAUACUGAGGGACUAGAGUACGGGAGAGGAAAGUGGAAUUCCUGGUGUAGCGGUGAAAUGCGUAGAUAUCAGGAGGAACACCGGUGGUGUAGACGGCUUUCUGGACCGACACUGACGCUGAGACACGAAAGCGUGGGUAGCAAACAGGAUUAGAUACCCUGGUAGUCCACGCCCUAAACGAUGCAUAUUUGGUGUGGGCAGUUCAUUCUGUCCGUGCCGGAGCUAACGCGUUAAAUAUGCCGCCUGGGGAGUACAGUCGCAAGGCUG